AUUGAACGCUGGCGGCAUGCUUUACACAUGCAAGUCGAACGGGCUUAGGGGCUUGCUCCUAAGUUAGUGGCGAACGGGUGAGUAAUGCAUCGGAACGUACCGUGUAGUGGGGGAUAACCCGGCGAACGUCGGAUUAAUACCGCAUACGAUCUAAGGAGGAAAGCAGGGGAUCGCAAGACCUUGUGCUAUACGAGCGGCCGAUGUCGGAUUAGCUAGUUGGUAGGGGAAAGGCCUACCAAGGCAACGAUCCGUAGAGGGUCUGAGAGGAUGAUCCACCACACUGGGACUGAGACACGGCCCAGACUCCUACGGGAGGCAGCAGUGGGGAAUUUUGGACAAUGGACGAAAGUCUGAUCCAGCCAUGCCGCGUGAGUGAAGAAGGCCUUCGGGUUGUAAAGCUCUUUUGUCCGGGAGCAAAUCCUGUUCACUAAUACUGAGCGGGGCUGAGAGUACCGGAAGAAUAAGCACCGGCUAACUACGUGCCAGCCGCCGCCGUAAUAC
rnacentral:rRNA from 1 species